rnacentral:tRNA from 1 species
GGGCCAAUGGUUCAAUAGUAGAGUGUCUGCUUUGUUUGCAGAAAGUCCCUGGUUCAAUCCUCAGCAUGUCCA